rnacentral:rRNA from 1 species
GACCGAUAGCRAACAAGUACCAUAAGGGAAAUGUGAAAAUGACUUUAAAAAGAGAGUCAAAGAGUGCUUGAAAUUAUCAGGAGAAAAGUAUAUGGGGGCCAGUGACGUAGCUCGAUUGGAUGCAGGACGAUAAUUAGUCGAUUUAUCGCUCGACUCAGGACACAGACUGUUGCAGGUUGGGACGGCGGCUUAAGCUUGGGGGGYUCAUCCUCACCAUGGAGACAUCAUUGCCUCGAUUGAGGUGGGAAGCACACGUCGCAUGAUGCAUUAUUCUUGGGCUGAUGUGCUCCUGGCAUCGACUUAUGGGCCCCCUAUUCGACUCGUCAUGAAACACAUACUAAGGAGUCUGACAUGUGUGUGAGUCAAUGGGUGCGCAAACUCGCAAGGUACAAGGAAGCCGAUUGGCGGGAUCCCCCUCCAUGGGUUACACCGUCAACCGACCUUAAUCUUCUGAGAAGGGUUCAAGUGAGAGGAUGCCCAUUGGGACUCAAAAGAUGGUGAACUAUGCUUGAGUGGGGUGAAGCUAGAGGAAACUGACAUACAAAUCAUUCAUCUGACUUGGGUAUAGGGAUGAAAGACUAAUCGAACCGUCUAGUAAUUGGUUUCCUCUAAAGUUUUGCUCAGGAUAGCUGGAGCCCACUGGCGAGUUCUAUCAGGUAAAGCCAAUGAUUAGAGGCAUCGGGGGCACAAUGCCCUCGACAUAUUCUUAAACUUUAAAUAGAUAGGACAAUGUAACUGCUUCGCUGAGCCGUGCCUCGAAAUCGAGAGCUCUAAGUGGACCAUUUUUGGUAAGCAGAACUGGCGAUGCGGGAUAAACUCAAAGCCGGGUUAUGAUCAAUUGCACGCUAACCUAGAACCCACAAAGGGUAUUGGUCAAUUAAGAUAGGAGGAUGGUGGUCAUGAAAAUCAAAAUCUACUAAGGAGUAUGUAAUAACUCACCUGCCGAAUCAACUAGCCUCUAAAAUGGAUGGCGUUGAAGUGUGCGACCCAUACCUAGCCAUCAGGGUGAAUGACAUGCCCUGAUGAGUAGGAGGGCGCAACUGCUACUGUAAAACCUUAGGCGCGAGCCCUGGCAGAGUGGUCGUUGGUGCGGAUCUUGGUGACAGUAGUAAAUAUUCAAAUGAGAACUUUGAAGGCCAAAGAGAGGAAAGGUUCCAUGUGAAUAGCACUUGCCAUGGGUUAGUCAAUCCUAAGAGAUGGGGGAAGCCCAUCAAAGACGUGCACCAUGUGAACUUUGAAAGGGAAUCAGGUUAAAAUUCUUGAACUAGGAUGUGGCGGCUGACGGCAAUGUUAGGAAGUUCAGAGAUGUCAGCAGGGGCCUUGGGAAGAGUCAUCUUUUCUAUUUAAGAGCCUACCCACCCUGAAAAUGGCUCACCUGGAGGUAGGGUCCAAUGGCUGGAAGAGUAACGCACGUCGCGUGGUGUUCGAUGUGCCCCCAACAGCCCUUAAAAAUUUGAAGGAUUGAGUGCCUCCCAUGCCUGAUCAUACUCAUAACCGUAUCAGGUCUCGAAUGUGUAAAACCUCUAAUCGAUGGAAUAAUGUAGGCAAAAGAAGUCAGUAAAAUGGAUCUAUAACCUCGAGAAAAGGAUUGGCUCUCAGGGUUAGGCACGGGGAUCCCAGUCCUAAACCCGUCUGUUGUCAGUGGACUGCUCGAGCUCCUCCCGUGGCGAGAGCGAGUCACCGCGUGCCAGCCGAGGGAGGGACUGGGAACAGCCCCUUCGAGGGCCUUCCUCGAGCAUCGAAUAAUCAACUCAAAAUUGGUAUGUACAAGGGGAGUUUGACUGUUUAAUUAAAAUAAAGCAAUGUGAUGGUCCCUAUGGAUGCUCACGUAAUGUGAUUUAUGCCCAGUGCUCUGAAUGUCAAAGUAGAGAAAUUCAACCAAGUGCGAGUAAAUAGCAGGAGUAACUAUGACUCUCUUAAGGUAGCUGAAUGCCUCAYCAUCUAAUUAGUGACGUGCAUGAAUGGAUUAACAAGAUUCCCACUAUUGUUGUAUACUAUCCAGCGAAACCACAGCCAAGGGAACAAGCUUGGUAAAAUCAACAAGGAAAGAAGACUCGGUUGAGCUUGACUCUAAUCUGACUUAUGAAAUGACUUGAGAGGUGUCGGAUAAGUGGGAGCCAUCUUAACGGCGGAAGUGAAAUACCACUACUUUUACAUUAUUUUACUUAUUCCAUGAGUCAGAGGUGGGGCACUACCCCCCUCUUAGUACCAAGACCGGCCUCGACUGGCCUAUCCAGGUGGAAGACAUUGUCAGGUGAGGAGUUUGGAUGGGGCGGCACAUCUGUUAAAAUAUAACGCAGGUGUCCUAAGAUGAGCUCAACGAGAAUAGAAAUCUCGUGUGGAAUAAAAGGGUAAAAGCUUGUUUGAUUCUAAUUUUCAGUAUGAAUACGAACCGUGAAAGCAUGGCCUAUCGAUCCUUUAGACCUUCAGGGUUUGAAGCUAAAUGUGUUUGAAAAGUUAGCAUAUGCAUAAAUGGCUUAUGACAGCCAAGCGUUCAUAACGACGUUGCUUUUUAAUCCUUCGAUGUUGGCUCUUCCCAUCAUUGUGAAGUAGAAUUCACCAAGUAUUGGAUUGUUCACCUACCAAUAGGGAAUGUGAGAUGGGUUUAGACCGUCGUGAGAGAGGUUAGUUUUACCCUACUAAUGAUGUGUCGCAAUAGUAAUUCAAACUAGUACGAGAGAAACCGUUGAUUCACACAAUUAGUCAUCAGCUUAGUUGAAAAGCCAAUGGCACAAAGCUACCUUGUGCCGAAUUAUGACUGAACACCUCUAAGUCAAAAUCGAAGCUAAACAUGAGGUGCCUCUGCCCGCCCCCCUUUUGUCGACCUGUAAUAGGGGCUGCAAGGUGCCCAUGGGCCCGUAUUAUUGGUGAAAGACCCUACGGCGAACGAGUUGCAUGGGGCUACCUUAAAGUGAAAUUCCUGUCGGACGGCGGGCUAAAUCCUUUACAAAUAACUUAAUUACACGACGGGGUAUUGUAAGUGGCAG